rnacentral:lncRNA from 1 species
GUUGUUAGGUUGCUGCCCCUGAAUUGGUAAUUUUAAGGAAAUUUUGCCGUUUUUUGUUAUUAUCUUGAAUAUUAUUAUAGAAAGAGAUAAAAUGUAAACAGAAAUAAUGUACAGCAAAGUAAGACCUACAAAUAAGUCAACAUGACCAAAAUGGUCAAUUGACCCCCUUAGGAGUUAUUGUCCUUUAUAGUCAAUUUUUAACAAUUUUCAUAAAAUUUGUAAAUUUUU